GUGAAUUAUGGGAGUUGUAGUGAGGGUCUGAUAGUGGGUGCAGGUGAAUUAUGGGAGUUGUAGUGAGGUUCUGAUAGUGAGUGCAGGGGAAUUAUGGGAGUUGUAGUGAGGGUCUGAUAGUGGGUGCAGGUGAAUUAUGGGAGUUGUAGUGAGGGUCUGAUAGUGAGUGCUGGGGAAUUAUGGGAGUUGUAGUGAGGGUCAGAUAGUGGGUGCAGGUGAAUUAUGGGAGUUGGAGUGAGGUUCUGAUAGUGAGUGCAGGGGAAUUAUGGGAGUUGUAGUGAGGGUCUGAUAGUGGGUGCAGGUGAAUUAUGGGAGUUGUAGUGAGGGUCUGAUAGUGGGUGCAGGGGAAUUAUGGGAGUUGUAGUGAGGGUCUGAUAGUGAGUGUAGGUGAAUUAUGGGAGUUGUAGUGAGGGUCUGAUAGUGGGUGCAGGUGAAUUAUGGGAGUUGUAGUGAGGGUCUGAUAGUGGGUGCAGGUGAAUUAUGGGAGUUGUAGUGAGGGUCUGAUAGUGGGUGCAGGUGAAUUAUGGGAGUUGUAGUGAGGGUCUGAUAGUGGGUGCAGGUGAAUUAUGGGAGUUGUAGUGAGGGUCUGAUAGUGGGUGCAGGUGAAUUAUGGGAGUUGUAGUGAGGGCUGAUAGUGGGUGUAGGUGAAUUAUAGGAGUUGGAGUGAGGGAUGAUAGUGGGUGCAGGUGAAUUAUGGGAGUUGAAGUUCGGUCCACAGUGU